rnacentral:rRNA from 1 species
AGUGAACGCUGGCGGUAGGCCUAACACAUGCAAGUCGAACGGCAGCACAGUAAGAGCUUGCUCUUACGGGUGGCGAGUGGCGGACGGGUGAGGAAUACAUCGGAAUCUACUUUUUCGUGGGGGAUAACGUAGGGAAACUUACGCUAAUACCGCAUACGACCUACGGGUGAAAGCAGGGGAUCUUCGGACCUUGCGCGAUUGAAUGAGCCGAUGUCGGAUUAGCUAGUUGGCGGGGUAAAGGCCCACCAAGGCGACGAUCCGUAGCUGGUCUGAGAGGAUGAUCAGCCACACUGGAACUGAGACGCGGUCCAGACUCCUACGGGAGGCAGCAGUGGGGAAUAUUGGACAAUGGGCGCAAGCCUGAUCCAGCCAUACCGCGUGGGUGAAGAAGGCCUUCGGGUUGUAAAGCCCUUUCGUUGGGAAAGAAAAGCAGCAGGUUAAUACCCCGCUGUUCUGACGGUACCCAAAGAAUAAGCACCGGCUAACUUCGUG